rnacentral:tRNA from 1 species
GGCGUUAUACUUUAAAAUAAAAGACCUGAUUUGCAUUCAGCCAAUGAAGACUUCUUCUAACGCCC